rnacentral:rRNA from 1 species
UACGUAGGGGGCGAGCGUUAUCCGGAUUCACUGGGUGUAAAGGGAGCGUAGACGGCCAUGCAAGCCAGGGGUGAAAGCCCGGGGCCCAACCCCGGGACUGCCCUUGGAACUGCAUGGCUGGAGUGCGGGAGGGGCAGGCGGAAUUCCUGGUGUAGCGGCGAAAUGCGUAGAUAUCAGGAGGAACACCGGCGGCGAAGGCGGCCUGCUGGACCGCGACUGACGUUGAGGCUCGAAAGCGUGGGGAGCGAACAGG